UGGAGCAUGUGGUUUAAUUCGAAGCAACGCGAAGAACCUUACCAGGUCUUGACAUCCCUGACAACCGAGAGAUCGGGCGUUCCCCUUCGGGGGACAGGGUGACAGGUGGUGCAUGGUUGUCGUCAGCUCGUGUCGUGAGAUGUUGGGUUAAGUCCCGCAACGAGCCGCAACCCUCGACCUUAGUUGCCAGCAUUCAGUUGGGCACUCUAAGGUGACUGCCGGCUAAAAGUCGGAGGAAGGUGGGGAUGACGUCAAAUCAUCAUGCCCCUUAUGACCUGGGCUACACACGUGCUACAAUGGGCGGUACAAAGGGUCGCGAACCCGCGAGGGGGAGCCAAUCCCAAAAAACAGGUCUCAGUUCGGAUUGCAGGCUGCAACUCGCCUGCAUGGAGGCGGAAUCGCUAGUAAUCGCAGGUCAGCAUACUGCGGUGAAUACGUUCCCGGGCCUU
rnacentral:rRNA from 1 species